GUGCCAGCAGCCGCGGUAAGACGGAGGAUGCAAGCGUUAUCCGGAAUGAUUGGGCGUAAAGCGUCCGCAGGUGGCAAUUCAAGUCUGCUGUUAAAGCGCAGGGCUUAACUCUGUAAAGGCAGUGGAAACUGAAUAGCUAGAGUGUGGUAGGGGCAGAGGGAAUUCCCAGUGUAGCGGUGAAAUGCGUAGAGAUUGGGAAGAACAUCGGUGGCGAAGGCGCUCUGCUGGACCAUAACUGACACUCACAGGACGAAAGCUAGGGGAGCGAAUGGGAUUAGAAACCCCUGUAGUCC
rnacentral:rRNA from 1 species